AUAAAGUUUAAUUUUAGCUUAAUAUUUUAUUUAAUUUUUUAUUUACAUGUAAAUUUUAGUAAGGUAAAGAAAUUAAUUUAAAUAGUUAAUUUUAAAUUUUUAUUCGCAGUAUAAAGAUUUAAUAAUUUAAGAAAUUAAGAAUUAAGAAUAAAUUUAAAUAUUGACAAAAUUUGUGCCAGCAGUUGCGGUUAUACAAGAAAUAUAAAUAAAAAUUAUUGGUAAGUAAUAAAUAGAAGUUAUUUAAUAAAAGUUAAAUUUAUUAGGUGAAAUUUUAAAUUUAAAAUUAUUAUAAGGAAAGUUUAUGAAAUUAUAAAAUUUAAGAGUUAAACUAGGAUUAGAUACCCUAUUAUUUUAAAUGUAAUAAAAUAAAUCAAAGGAUUAAUAGUUAAGAUCUUUAAAUUUAAAAAUUUUGGCGGUAUUUUAGUCUAUUUAGAGGAACCUGUUCUGUAAUCGAUAAUCCACGAGUUAAAUAACUUAAUUUAUUAGUUUGUAUAUCGUUGUUAUUAAAUAUUUUAUAAGAAUUAAAUGUUUAAGAGUUUUAAAGAGAAAAAAUUUCAAAUCAAGGUGCAGUUUAUAAUUAAGAAGAAAUGGGUUACAAUAGAUUUAUUUAAAUGAAUUUAUUUAUGAAAAAUGUAAUGAAGGUGGAUUUAAUAGUAAUAAAAUUAAUAUUAAUUUUAUGAUUUUAGCUCUAAAAUGUGUACAUAUCGCCCGUCGCUCUUAUUAUAAAGUAAGAUAAGUCGUAACAUAGUAGAUGUACUGGAAAGUGUAUCUGGAAUAA
rnacentral:ncRNA from 1 species